AGAGCACCAUGGAUAAGGCAAUAGCUGGAUUCUCCCACCCACCCCAAUCUCUUUUUUCCUCACCAACACCAAGACUGUGACUGUCUCACACACCUGCUGAAGAUUUGUGAUUCCCAAGCUGAUUUGUAGAAAUAAGCAGAAAAGCAGCUUUCCAGCAGCUUGUCUUCAAGUCAGUGCCGGUGCUUUUUUACAUUCAGUACUACAAAACUGCUGUCCAUGUACUAAAAUCUUCAUGAUUUUAGCACAUGGCUACUGUGUAAAGAUCCUCAUUGGUAAAAUCCAUUUUUAUAAUGUUCUAUCAGGAGGGCAGAAAGCAGGGAAGAAAGGGAAGGUGGCCUCGUCCUUUGAGAUCAUAUAGGCUUGUUUUCAGCACACUGCUUGGAUUGAUUGCACGGUGAAGCAGAGAAGGAAUACAAACUUUGCACUACAGCUAAAUCUGACUGGAGAUGGGGUGCUGAGUACCGGGCAGACAUCUGUUGGAGGACUGCAGUGCACGUGAUUGAUGAAGCACAUUAGCUGACAUACCAGUAAAACAGACAUAACUUACCUGGUCACAGCCCACUUAUUCCCCUCUGAUUUGAUCUGGGAGACACCUGCAGCAAAGGCUUCAGAAAAGGAUUGUCUGCCUACCACUUCUUAAACUAUGAAACUACGAUAAUGCAUGAAACUUUGCAGCUCAUCCAGGUGGGUGGUUACUCCUGUUACAUCCUCGUUUUGUUACCCUCAGGAUGAACGUCAAGCUGCAGAAGGUUUUUGCUGCCUUGGUCAGUUUUUCAGCCAGGUCAGGAGCUCAGCCAGCUUGUGCAGAACCGCAUGAGUGCUCACGCUGACAUGAAGGAUGGGGUAGGUGGAGGACCGCGCAUCCUUCCCUGUAUACUGGCUGAAGUCCACCGUGGAGCCUGAGUGCUUGGGCACGUCUGCACCUGUGUUUGGGGGAAUACUUAAUGUGGCCACUCUGAAAACUGAGGCACUAGGAAAAUAAAAGUAAGCAGCUGCUUGGAGGACGCCAGCAUCACCUGAACUGCAGUUAGGUUGUCAUUUACACAUGCAGUGAGUGUAAGGGACUGCUGAAUCAAAAAAGAAAACAUUUUUUUCCUUGACUGUAGAGGUGGAUGGCUUCUGUGUGCUGGGUGAUGAUGACUCCAGCUAAUUUCAUUUAGAAUUGGGAAAGACAAAUCAAGCUUCCUGAAAGCAUCUUUUGGAGUUGCAGAGGUGAGUAGAUCAGACAACAAUGGAACGAGACAGCUGACCUUAAGCAAAAAUCGUGGGAAUCUCUGUUAUAUAUUUAUGUAUCAUUAUAAAUUUAUUUAACUGGACUCAUUCAGUGCUCUCAAAACCUUCAAAUAUGAGGAAGUUUAUGUACCAGGAUCCCUCCCUAUCUGCUAAGAAAUCCCCCACACAAGAAAAAGUGACCUAUGUUGGAGAAAACACUAAAAUUACUUAUAAUGAGUAACUAUUGGAUCAGAUUAACAGUUGUGAAAUCCUGAAAACGACACUGAUUUCAACUCAGUUAUACAACUUGAACUAAGAAUUUGUCCAAUUACUCAAACUUCAUCUAAAAUUAUAAAAAUAUUUAAAUUAAAUGUAAAAGCUAAUAAAGAGUAAUGCAGAAAUAACUUUUUAUUUCACUGUAUUUUAAUGCUUCCUAAAGAUAGGUAAAUGGUGCUUAAGCCCAUUUGAAAGAGGAGGUGCUGAAUCUUUCAUUUUUGUUAGUAGUGGUAUCUUAGGACAAGUCUACCCAGGUGCUGCACAAGUUUAAUUCAGACUCAGCUAUGGAACCUAGAGGCCUAGCCACAGAAAUACCAUUUAAUUUCUUUCAGUUGAUUAGUACAUACUCAGCCACUGAUUUGUAUGUACAUUUGUACAAUAAUAAAUAAAAAUAUGUAUAAAUAAAAUAUGUACAAAAAAUAAAAUUGUACAAUAUACUGCAAGAAAGGAACAAGUUCUAUGGAGCCAGGCUCUGUUCAGUAGUGGCCAAUGCCAGGACAAAAGGCACAAAUUGGAACAAAAGAGGUUCUGUUUAAAUAUCAGGAAACACUUCUUCACUGUGUGGGUGAUGGAGCACUGGCACAGGUUGCCCAGGGGUGUUGUGGAGUCUCCUUACCUGGAGGUCUUCAAAAGCCACCUGGACAUGGUCCUGGGCAGCUUGUUCUGGGUAGCCCUGCUUGAGCUGAGAUGCUGCACAG